rnacentral:lncRNA from 1 species
GCUGAUGAGACCAAAGGCUUCCAUCAGGUUCCCUUUGCACCCAUUGUCUUCAUUGAGAGGACUGACUUCAAGGAGGUAAAUUGUGGGGGUGGAGGGUCCCGUUUGCUGCUGAGUCUGGUACUGGGAACCUUUCAUCUCCUCAUCUCUGUCAGUCCAUCUACUUCCUGCUUCAGAUGAACCAAUCUUUGCCAGACACGGGGGUAGGGAAGCUUCCCCACUUGUUUGACCCUUGCAGCCUCAUGUGUCUACCCCACUUCCUAUCUCUAGGAGCCAGAGCCAGGAUUUAAGCGCCUGGCUUGGGGCCAGCCUGUGGGCCUGAGGCAUACAGGCUACGUCAUUGAGCUGCAGCAUGUUGUCAAGGGCCCCAGUGGUUGUGUAGAGAGUCUGGAGGUGACCUGCAGACGGGCAGAUGCUGGAGAGAAGCCAAAGGCCUUUAUUCACUGGGUGUCACAGCCUUUGAUGUGUGAGGUUCGCCUCUAUGAGCGACUGUGAGUGAACAGAGCUGGGGUGGGGGCAGGUACAAGAUGCACAUUGCCUGCUAUGGCUGCCCAGCUGGGGGUAUGACCUUCACUUUGGCUGCAGAUUCCAGCACAAGAACCCUGAAGAUCCUACUGAGGUGCCUGGUGGAUUUUUAAGUGACCUGAACCUGGUAGGUUCAUGAGGUUUGGGGUGAGGGAGGUAGGCCUCCCUGGUUGGAUGGUUGCCUGAGUUCCCUGCCUGCAGGCAUCACUACACGUGGUGGAUGCAGCAUUAGUGGACUGCUCUGUGGCCCUGGCAAAACCCUUCGACAAGUUCCAGUUUGAGCGUCUUGGAUAUUUCUCCGUGGAUCCAGACAGCCAUCAGGGAAAGCUUGUCUUUAACCGAACUGUCACACUGAAGGAAGACCCAGGAAAGGUGUGAGCUGGAAGCACUGAACCUACCUCAUCCUCCUGGAGGGUGUGGCUACCCUCGCCACCCCAAAUUCCAUGUCAAUAAAGAACA